UACGUAGGGUGCGAGCGUUGUCCGGAAUUAUUGGGCGUAAAGAGCUCGUAGGCGGUCUGUCGCGUCUGCUGUGAAAACCUAGGGCUUAACUCUGGGCGUGCAGCCGAUACGGGCAGGCUAGAGUUCGGUAGGGGAGACUGGAAUUCCUGGUGUAGCGGUGAAAUGCGCAGAUAUCAGGAGGAACACCGAUGGCGAAGGCAGGUCUCUGGGCCGAUACUGACGCUGAGGAGCGAAAGCGUGGGGAGCGAACAGG
rnacentral:rRNA from 1 species